GUCAGGGAAGAGUUAGAAGUGUCCAGUUUCUCAGAGGGAGAAAGCAUUCGCCAAGGGGGGAAGGAGAGCAGUGAAUCUAACAGAAGAGAGCAAGAGGAACAACAGGGAGGGACUGGCUGUUCACAGGAAAGGCAAGGGUUAAGUUCUAGCUCAGAUUUGGAGGAGGGGAGAUACAAGCCAGCUCUAGCCAGGAGGUUAGAGGGAUAAUAAUAAUAAAUUUAUUAAAUUUGUGAGGUCCAUGCCUUUACACAAAAUACCAUAAAACAUUAUUAAAAGAUAAACCAAAAAGGUUAUAAAAGUAAGCUAAAAUUCAUGCCAUGUUGUCCCAGCAAGGAAACUACCCAAAAAACCCCACCAUUCGAGGAAGAAGGUACAGCAACAGGUUAGGAGAGCAAUGGGAGGGACCUCACCGUUUCAUCCAGGAACCAUACCCUAGUUUUCAUAGCCUUCACCACAAAGACCGCUACCACGUGAGAAAUCCGUGGAUCAGCGUCUACCAGUAAAAACUUUACUUGGUCCUCAGAGUUGACUAUUGAUUUAGGAAUAGUUGUAACAUCGCAUCCCUGAAGGCCGAAUAGAUGGGACAAUACAACAUGUAAUGUAUGAGAUCCUCUUUGGUUCUCAUAUAACAAGGACAUAUCCGCUGCUCUACUGGGAUUUUUGCAUAUCUGCCUGACAGAUAGGCCGUAGGAAUGGUUUGAAAACGGGCCAUAGUAAAGGCUCUCCGAAGAGUGGGAUUGGUGAUAUUCGCCAAGUAAUUGGCGCAGAUUUUGACUGCUUUCAGUCGGGGAAGCCAGUGGGAGGACCCUGGGAUCUGUAUUUUUGUGGUAUCUAACAGAGCGUCUCUCUCCAGGAUCCAUUUCCGGACUUUGUCCGGGCUCCACCGCUUGAGGAUAUUAAACUCCGGUAGGGUGUAUCUAACCAGGAUCUCAGAUAAGUUUUGGCACCAAGUGGUAUUCUUUUGAAAAGAUACGAAGGCUUGUUUGGCCAAUAAGGUGUUUGAAGAGUUUGCAAGGUUGAUGUAAAAUCGUAGGAAUCUUAAGUGGGCCCUGGCAGACACAGAGGGUAAACCAACCUCCACCCUCAAGAAGGCUGCUGGGGUUCCUUGAGGAAGGCCUAGAAUCUUCUUGAGAUAGUAGUUUUGCAAAAUUUCAAGCCGUUCCAACAGCCUCUGGUUCCACCCCCAGAGUUCUAUCCCAUAUAACAUCUGGGGAAUAGCUUUCCCAACGAAAGCUCUUAAUGCCGGGAUCACCAAUUGUCCUCCCCUGGUAUGGAAGAAACUAAGCAAAACACCAAUUGUUCUUCGUGUUAGGAUGGUUACAGCCUUAAAGUGGGCUAGCCAGCUAGAUGUAGCCUGGAAUGUAACACCCAGAUAUUUAAAAAAGGGCACUGUUCAAUCACUUGUUCAUCUAAAGACCAUCUAAAGGUGUGGCGAGCUCUAGUAAACACCACAAUUUUUGUUUUAUCAUGGUUUAUCUUUAGUGAAUUAUGGGAACAGUAGGCUGCGAUCCCCUCCAGCAUGCUGCGUAAGCCUCUUCGGGUGAGUGCCAUUAAAACCAUGUCAUCGGCAUAUAGCAAAAUAUUCAGGCGUUUACCUUCAAGGGCUGGAGCCGAUGACUUGUACUUUGCCAUGUACUGGACAAUGUCGUUUAUAUAAAAGUUGAAAAGAAAUGGGGCUAGCAGGCAUCCCUGUUUGACCCCUUUCCCCAAUGGCAGUGGGUCCGUAAGAGUUCCCGAUGGCCCAGUUCUGAUUUUGACUGUAAUGUCUGUAUGUAACUCUCUGAGAAUUUUUAAAAGUCGUCUGUCAAUGUCCGUUUCAUGGUGACCUCCACUUUUGUUUGUUCCCUAGCUCAGACGGAACUCCUGGAAGAUGGCGCCGGCAGUAAGUCUCCUGUGAGCCUCAACAGAGUGAGUAGGAGCUUUUACAGAAUAAUUACAAUAAUACAGAAAGACAUUCAGAAAAAAUCAAAGUUUUAGCCUGAUAAAAGAAUCCGGGAGUUACCAGGAGGUAUUUCUUAAAUCCUCCCCUUUCCUCCCCUAUUCGAGGCUAAUUACAACCUUUGAGCUCCUGUUGAAUAAGGCCCUAGCACACGGCUAGAGAAGAUAACUUAAAUGGUUCUUACAAGACAGAAUUAUAAAGAACUGGGGAUCCCUCUAGCUCAAGCACAAGCUGUUGAACCCCUGCCCCAAAGAAAAAGCAGGCAAAAAUUCCAUAUUAUUUUAAACCAAAAGCAGAGGAAGUGAAAAGAAAUAAAAACAUAGAGAGCCUGCAUCCGCACGAAUGGUCUGUCGACCGUAUCUCGUUCAGAAGGGGCAUGGAAGCAGAGGGAGGAGGAGGAAAAGGAGUUGACCUGGCAACCGAGUUGGCACAGGCAACUACAGAAAGUACAGCCCUUGAGGCCCGACCAGAACAGGAGCCUCAGCUGGGAGACCCAGAAACCAAGUCAAAAGAAUCCACCCAUCAACCUAUGCUUAGAGGAAAGGGGGGGUCCCCUGCCCCGACAGAGGUGGAGGAGUGGCUAAACGACACAAGAGCUCGACAUCCAGACCUGGGCAGCUAUAAUUACAUAAUGACAGGGCUGUACAAAGAUCUGUUGGAAGAACAUCAAACUCAGCUAAUUAAAGAACUGGGGCCUAUUAAAAACUUUCUUUCAGAAUGUUUGGGUUUGCUCACCUCCCUGAUUGAACUAAUCAGGAGGAAAGAGGAUUGCCACUUUCACAAAGAAGCCAUCAACAAGCCAAAUGGAAAUAAAACCCAGUCCAACACCAAAGAAAGGAAAACAAGCAGAGCCAAACUAGCCCAAGGAAAAGUACUGGCCACUAGGAAACCUUCCUUAAAGGGAAAGAGCCCAAUGCAUAAGAAGAAGCCGAAGAAUGUGAAAAUGGGUCGAAAGGCUAAGCUGCCCUCUCGGACUGGGAAAGUGAAUUUCUCAAAGUUAUUCAAGAUUCUGGAGAACUCAAGCACAAAGAACUCCAACAAAACAACGCCAAAUAAGAGCCAAAGCCCAAACAUUUUAAAUAUACAUCAGGUGACUAGCCCUCCAAGGCUAGCAAAACAAUCGCUGCCCUCUAGUGGAAAAUUAAAGGAAACUCCAGAUCCAAAGCAAGAAACUCCCCAGAAGGGAGUACAAAAGAGCCAGAACUUAAUUUUAAUUAAACAUAAAUUAGUCCUCCUCCCUCUCUUCAAGCAUGGAGGCCUUUCCACGCUUGCACAACAGAGAAUUUAUUUACUUAAGAAAAUUGACUUAGUCAUCAGAGGCCUUAUACCAGCAGGAAAUAUUGUCAGCGUUAAAUUUCUUCCUUUUGAUAUGGCCCAAAACAGAGUUGUGGUGACCUUUAAGGACUGGUCGGUAACUAAACAAAUCAUGGACAAGAGGGACAGGCUCCAGAGGGCUGGCCUGUUGGUGACCCGCCUUUUUGAAGAGUCCGGCGUUCCACCAUCCCUCUUAGGAACACGUAAGCCGACUAGUCCGCGCACAGAAUUGGAAAUGGCUUCUGAAAACUGCAAACAAGGUCAACCGGAGGCAGUCAAAAUUUCCAAACAGAAGGCUAAGCUCCAAAAAACAUUACUCCCUUCCAAUGAACCCAAAAAAGAAAUCUUAAAUGAAAAGGAGAUGCUCUUUCUAGCCUCCCUUGAGCAAAUUCAACAGUCCCAGGAUGCGUUAAUAGCUAGGUUACAAACCAUUAAAAAAUCCUUAUUCCGCCAAGGUUUUUCUGCUCCUUUGGAAUUUAAUUUUGCUACUAACACAACAAAGCCCUUAUCCAACGAAGACUGGACGCAGUGCCGGUUCCUGUCCCCCGAAGAAGUGGGUUCUCCCACACAACCCUUAACACCUCAAACAACAACACACCAGGUAGACCUUGCCAUGCCGAUGAGUAGGAACGGUUCAAUCUUUGUGGAUGCCUCAGGAUCCUUAGAUGGCAUUCAGGUGGAGGAUUGAAAGACAGAUACAGCGAGGGGACACCACGCCAGUGAAACAAAACUCACUAGGUUAGUACCUACCACAAAGGAUACCAACAGCUCACUCCACCUCUACAAAAACAUUCAUUCCAUCAUCCUAAAGAACAAACGGAGAAGUCUACCUUUGUUCCCCUCACCACCAUAUUUUCACAUCUUAUCGUGGAAUGUGGCGGGCUGGCUGUCUAAGCAGGGCGCUGCUGAUUUUCUGGAUUUUCUCUCAAAAUUCCAGAUUAUUUGUCUACAAGAGACCUGGUGCCUAGACUCUCAUCCCCCUUACUUACAGGGCUAUGCGGCUUUUGCUACCCCUGCGAAAAAACUAAAUAACCGUGGCCGACCUAGCGGCGGUUUGGUCACUUUUAUUCCUAUAGAGCAAGGGUACAGGGUGCGACAACUGCAGUGGAUGAAGAACAACAAUUUUCAGAUUUUACUUAUCUCCAAUAACACAGGAGGAGAUCUUCUAUGUUUCAACGUCUAUAUCCCCCGUGUGUACUUCCUCUCAGACAGUACAAAUCUGGGAAGAUUUGGAGUCAUGCUUGGAGAAGGCCAAAAUAGAAUUCCCUGACUGGAACAUCCUGCUGGCAGGUGACUUUAAUGCCAGGAUAGGCAGCGACAUCAAUUCGUAUGGCUCCAAAACCCAGUUUCUACCAGAGGCAGACUGGCUUAUCCCUUGGAGUUCUGAUGAAAAGGUCUUGAACAAGGCAGGUAUUACAUUACUGGAGAUUGCUUUUAAGCAUAAUCUGUACAACCUGCAUGGUACUUACAUGGACAGGUCAGGAGGUUUCUUCUCUUUAUCGGCCCUCGUGGUGCAAGUGUGAUUGACCAUAUCCUGGUCUCUCCAACAAUUUUGGAGAGGGUACAGGGUCUCAGCACUUUUAAUAGAACUGAGAGCGACCAUCUUCCUAGAGCAAUCUCACUAACUCCCCUUGAAUCAGGGGAUUACAACAUCUACAUUGUGCAGCCCCUCCUCAAGCACCGGCCCCACGCAGGCGUAAAUGGAACAGCGAGCUGGAGCUUAAAAUUAAUCAACACCUGCACUCUCCAGAUCUAUUGGUUCUGAGAGACCAGUGUCCUUUACCUAACUUUGAUCCUUUUUCACUAUAUCAGCGGGUCUCAGAGUCCCUUUUCCCAUUUCUUAUAAACACCAGGCCUCCCAUACAACAUAACAAAUCGGGGCCUGGUGUGACAAAGACUGCCGGAAGCUAAGAUCCCUGCUUAGGAAACAACAAAAUAAGGUAAAACAGGAGAGGACUUUGUCAUCUAUGGUAAAUUUCCACAGAUGGCGCUCUCACUAUAAAUACACCUUAAAACUCAAGAAAUCCCUUUACAGGAAGAAACAAUGGGAGGCACUUGAUAAGGCGAUUAAAUCGCGAGACGAUAGAAAAUUCUGGGCAAUAGUAGCACAGGGAGUCUCAUCCAAAGGAAAAAUUGUAAACAGCAGUAUUCCAUCCGAUGUGUGGUAUCAACACUUUCUCAAGCUAUACACACUCUCAAAUACUGCUAACUUGAGUCCGCUCCUCCCAUUGAAGAAUGAGCAUCUAGUUAGUUGGGAUCCCGUUACGGAAUCAGAGUGCCUACAGCUAAUUAAAACUUUAAAAAAUGGCAAAGCUCCUGGCGAGGACAUGAUCCCCCCUGAGGUUUUUAAAUUAAAUGCCCAAUGGUGGGCCAUCUUUUUGGCCAAACUUUUACGGCAAUGAACAACACAUGUAAAAUCCCAGCAAAUUGGAAACUAAGUGUGGUAGUCCCUAUCUAUAAGAAGGAGACAUUCAAGAUCCAGCAAACUACCGCCCUAUAAGCCUUCUGGACAUCGCAUACAAACUUUAUACCCGGUACCUAUUAAACAAGCUGGUAGAUUGGGCGGACCAUUCUAACCUGUUCAACCAGGAACAGGCAGGAUUUAGAAAGGGCCACAAUACGAUAGGUCACUGUAUGGUACUACAGACCCUGGUAGCUAAAUAUGCAAAAGCGUAUAAGAGCAGACUCUUUGUGGCCUUCGUAGACUUGACAUCUGCCUUCGACUCAAUCUGUAGAGAUAGACUAUGGAAAAAAUUAUAUGAAACGGACAUUGACAGACGACUUUUAAAAAUUCUCAGGAGGUUAGAAAAAAGAGCGGGAAAGCGAAGGGAAGGGCGCCUUCGCCAUUUUGAGAGUGGCUGGUCAUGGAGAAGCAGAGCUCAGAAGGUAUCUGAAAUAAGUGACUCUGAG
rnacentral:lncRNA from 1 species